rnacentral:rRNA from 1 species
UAGGGAAUCUUCGGCAAUGGACGAAAGUCUGACCGAGCAACGCCGCGUGAGUGAAGAAGGUUUUCGGAUCGUAAAACUCUGUUGUUAGAGAAGAACAAGGACGUUAGUAACUGAACGUCCCCUGACGGUAUCUAACCAGAAAGCCACGUCUAACUACGUGCCAGCAGCUGCGGUAAUACGUAGGUGGCAAGCGUUGUCCGGAUUUAUUGGGCGUAAAGCGAGCGCAGGCGGUUUCUUAAGUCUGAUGUGAAAGCCCACGGCAACACCGGGAAGGGUCAUUAGAAACUGGAAAACUAGAGUGCAGAAGAGGAGAGUGGAAUUCCAUAAAUAGCGGUGAAAGGCGUAGAUAUAUAGAGAAGCACCAGUGGCGAAGGCGGAUCUCAGGUCUAUAACUGAAACUGAGGAUAGAAAGCGUGGGGAGCAAACAGG